UAUUAAUUUUAAGAGGAUUUUUAACCCAGCUUUUUCUGUUUAGUGCUGGUUUGGCUUGCCUUAGCUUUUAUAUUUGAACAAUCAGGUUCACAAAUAGAUACCAACCUAGACACGAGCUGGAUAAACCCUAUCUGAUUUUGUUUUCUCCACUUGAGAUUUGCAGGGGAGGUUGCAUUGCCCGGAGGAAAGGCAGAGGAGGGUGAUGCUGAUGAUGCAGCAACAUCAUUAAGGGAGGCAAAGGAGGAGAUUGGGCUUGAUCCAGCCUUGGUCACUGUCGUUUCCUCGCUUGAGCACUUCUUGCCCAAGUUGUUUCAUCGCUGCGAGGGUCUGGUGUUCGACGACCUCCCCGUGCGUUCAACGAGCUCCGCCCCGGUGUUCGUGGGUGUUGACAGAUGGUGGGCGCGGGUCGAGAGCGCUCCGGGGCUCCUUCCUCGGCGCGUGGUGGGAGGGGUAGUUCCAUUCCACCCCAGACCCUCCGGAGAG